UGCCCCCCGCACUAUGAUUGCCAAACUCCACAGCUCGCAGAGAGGAAGCAUCAAGAGUUGGCAACGGUAGUGCGAUACAUCAA
rnacentral:pre_miRNA from 1 species